AUACGUAGGUGGCAAGCGUUGUCCGGAAUUAUUGGGCGUAAAGCGCGCGCAGGCGGUCCUUUAAGUCUGAUGUGAAAGCCCACGGCUCAACCGUGGAGGGUCAUUGGAAACUGGGGGACUUGAGUGCAGAAGAGGAAAGGGGAAUUCCAAGUGUAGCGGUGAAAUGCGUAGAGAUUUGGAGGAACACCAGUGGGGAAGGCGACUUUCUGGUAUGUAACGGACGCUGAGGCGCGAAAGCGUGGGGAACAAACAGGAUUAGACACCCUGGUAGGCCACGCCGUAAACGAUGAGUGCUAAGUGUUAGGGGGUUUCCGCCCCUUAGUGCUGCAGCUAAUGCAUUAAGCACUCCGCCUGGGGAGUACGGUCGCAAGACUGAAACUUAAAGGAAUUGACGGGG
rnacentral:rRNA from 1 species